UACAGAGGGUGCGAGCGUUAAUCGGAAUUACUGGGCGUAAAGCGCACGUAGUCGGCUUUGCAAGUCGGGUGUGAAAUCCCCGGGCUCAACCUGGGAACUGCAUCCGAGACUGCAUUGCUAGAGUAUGGGAGAGGGAAGCGGAAUUUCUGGUGUAGCAGUGAAAUGCGUAGAUAUCAGAAGGAACACCGGUGGCGAAGGCGGGUCUCUGGGCAAUAACUGACGCUGGAGGAGCGAAAGCGUGGGGAGCGAACAGG
rnacentral:rRNA from 1 species